rnacentral:misc_RNA from 1 species
AAGUCGUAACAAGGUUUCCGUAGGUGAACCUGCGGAAGGAUCAUUACCGAGUUCAUGCCCUCACGGGUAGAUCUCCCACCCUUUGUAUACCUUACCUUUGUUGCUUUGGCGGGCCGCCUAGCUACUGGCUUCGGCUGGUAAGUGCCCGCCGGAGAACCCCAAACCCAAACCAUUUAUAGUGUCGUCUGAGUAAAAUUUUAAUAUUUAAAACUUUCAACAACGGAUCUCUUGGCUCUG